AUUGAACGCUGGCGGCAUGCCUAACACAUGCAAGUCGAACGGUAGCAGGUUAAGCUUACUUUUCGCGUACUGGCGAGUGAUGUAUGGGUACCACGCCAGUCACGUAGCAUAACUGCUCGGAUGAGUUCGUAAAACCGGAUAUGAUACCGGAGUAAAAUCUGAACCGCAUAAUUCAUCAGUGAAUUAGGGCGUCCCUUUUAAUAAUAGAUAGUUCCGCGCUUCAUUAGCUAGUUGGUAAGGUAACGGCUUACCAAGGCAACGAUGCAUAGCCGACCUGAGAGGGUGAUCGGCCACACUGGAACUGAGACACGGUCCAGACUCCUACGGGAGGCAGCAGUAGGGAAUCUUCCGCAAUGGGCGAAAGCCUGACGGAGCAACGCCGCGUGAGUGAUGAAGGUCUUCGGAUCGUAAAACUCUGUUAUUAGGGAAGAACAGAUGUGUAAGUAACUGUGCACAUCUUGACGGUACCUAAUCAGAAAGCAACGGCUAACUACGUG
rnacentral:rRNA from 1 species